GGCUGCGCUGUUACUACGUUGCAGGCACCUCUUCUAAUAUUUCAAUUAAGCAACGUUGGGCUGGCUGGUACUUGGAUCGGAGACGGCCUGGGAAUCCCAGCUGUUGCAGACA
rnacentral:rRNA from 1 species